rnacentral:lncRNA from 1 species
UCAGAAAAUGUUGCACCUCCUCCACCAUCAGCAGAACCCACAGUUCCAGCAACCCAUAUACCUAAGCCUAGCUCAUCUGGUGGGAGCAAGGUUAAGAUGACCAACUACAUGAAGCUGGGUGCUCCCAAGUAUGAAACCGGUGAUGACCCGUUUGUGUACCUUGAGAGGGUCAAAACGAUUACAGAUGAGAUAGGAGCUGAUGACAGCAGAGCCAUUCAGAUGGCUGGGUUCACACUCAAAUGCAAAAAGGCCCGAUAGUGGUUUAAG